AGGAUUCCCCUAGUAACUGCGAGUGAAGCGGGAAAAGCUCAAAUUUAAAAUCUGGCGGUCUCUGGCCGUCCGAGUUGUAAUCUAGAGAAGUAAUGCCCGUGCUGGACCGUGUAUAAGUCUCCUGGGAUGGGGCGUCAUAGAGGGUGAGAAUCCCGUCUUUGACACGGACUACCAGUGCAUUGUGGUAUGCUCUCAAAGAGUCGAGUUGUUUGGGAAUGCAGCUCAAAAUGGGUGGUAAAUUCCAUCUAAAGCUAAAUAUUGGCGAGAGACCGAUAGCGAACAAGUACCGUGAGGGAAAGAUGAAAAGAACUUUGGAAAGAGAGUUAAACAGUACGUGAAAUUGCUGAAAGGGAAACGCUUGAAGUCAGUCGCGUUGGCCGGGGAUCAGCCUUGCUUUUGCAUGGUGUACUUUCUGGUUGACGGGUCAGCAUCAAUUUUGACCGCUGGAAAAAGACCUGGGGAAUGUGGCAGCUUCGGCUGUGUUAUAGCCCCUAGUCGCAUACAGUGGUUGGGAUUGAGGAACUCAGCACGCCGCAAGGCCGGGUUUCGACCACGUUCGUGCUUAGGAUGCUGGCAUAAUGGCUUUAAGCGACCCGUCUUGAAACACGGACCAAGGAGUCUAACAUGCCUGCGAGUAUUUGGGUGGAAAACCCAAGUGCGUAAUGAAAGUGAAAGUUGAGAUCCCUGUCGUGGGGAGCAUCGACGCCCGGACCAGAACUUUUGGGACGGAUCCGCGGUGGAGCAUGUAUGUUGGGACCCGAAAGAUGGUGAACUAUGCCUGAAUAGGGUGAAGCCAGAGGAAACUCUGGUGGAGGCUCGUAGCGAUUCUGACGUGCAAAUCGAUCGUCAAAUUUGGGUAUAGGGGCGAAA
rnacentral:rRNA from 2 species